rnacentral:rRNA from 1 species
GAUGAACGCUGGCGGCGUGCCUAAUACAUGCAAGUCGAACGGGGAGUAGCAAUACUCUUAGUGGCGAACGGGUGAGUAACGCGUUGGUACCUGCCCCGAAGCGGGGGAUGACGGACCGAAAGGUCCGCUAAUACCCCAUGUGCUCGGUAACGAGUAAAGGUGAAAACCACUUUGGGAGGGGCCUGCGUCCCAUCAGCUAGUUGGUAAGGUAACGGCUUACCAAGGCGAUGACGGGUAGGGGACCUGAGAGGGUGGCCCCCCACAAUGGAACUGAAACACGGUCCAUACACCUACGGGUGGCAGCAGUAGGGAAUAUUGGUAAUGGGCGCAAGCCUGAACCAGCAACGCCGCGUGUGCGAUGACGGCCUUCGGGUUGUAAAGCACUUUUGACUGGGACGAGGAAGGACGGUACCGGUCGAAUCAGCCUCGGCUAACUACGUG